rnacentral:lncRNA from 1 species
UUUGUGCAUGCCACGGCACGUGACAUGCCUAGUGACAAUAAAAGUGGAACAGAGACUUUGGUGGUUGCCACCGCGCCUACCAGUGGUGCUGCAGUGAAGGAUAAGAAGUGCAUAAUUGGUGGUUUUGCUGCGGUCGGUGGUGUGGCCGGGGUUGGCGGGGUGGUUCCACUUGGCGGUAUUGGCGGAGUUGGUGGUGCCGGUGGUGCUGGUGGACUUGGGGGACUAGGCGGUCUUGGUGGUUUAGGCGGUGGUGCUGGCGGUCUUGGUGGUUUAGG